rnacentral:lncRNA from 1 species
GGGUCAUGCGCCAAUGAACAAUUAGCGCAAUGAUCUCAGUAGCCUUAAUGAAAAAUAAUAGAAAUGAGAUGAUUGAUAGCUUGGUUUCGCACUCUAAUUGAAUGGCGCUGCUAGUAGGUCUCGCGGGUUCCUUAACAACUAGUUUCUUGAGAAGGGCUUGGUACCCCCUCCUUUAAGACCAAUAUUAGGAAUGCUUGGUGAAGGACUGGAAAUGGCGACUAGAGGGGGAUGAAUGAGAACCGUAAAUUUUUGUCCCAAAAUAUUUUCGCCCACUGUCUUAAAUCACCGCCAAACACAAGCGAGAGUCCCGAAACUAAAUUACUCAAGUCAACCGGUGACAAAAAACAGAACUCAAAUCGGAGCACAAACGACCAUGCUACAUGUAAAAAGAAAAAUCAGAGCUAGAAAAAAUUCACUGAAAAAUCCCCUAAAAAGAUGUUGAACCCAGAGGGCCUGCGCACGGUGGUGUGACUGCCUCUGCUCUGAUCGAUUCACACAUGGCACAAAUUCACAACCGUAAAUAGCAUGGCAAGCAAAAAUUAGAAAUUAAACAUCUAUGGCAGAAAACAAACAGAAGACCAAUUAGAGCACUCGCACACAAAAAACAAAUCAAACAAGAACUUCACAAAAAAAAACUGCUGAGCAAUCACACUGGAGUAAAUGCAAUCUCUUGACCAAUCAAAGUUUAGCACACUUUGACUCACGAUAAGCAUUGCUAGGUGCUGGACUAGUGCACAGAGCCGAUGCACUUGAUGCUGGACCGCCAGCACCUCGACCUGCAGCAAGAACAGAACCAGCAGCCGGAUUUCUCUGUCUAGAAAUCGAACUAUGGGGUCUGAGUCCAACUCCAAAACGCUAAAAAAAACAGACAGAGUGCAGAUCACACGAAGCGAGGGUACUUGGGGCCGAGCCAACCUGGGCAGUGGUGUGAGCACUAAGAGCUGGAGGGCUUGGCUCUUCACUCGACGUGGAACUAGAGACACAAGCAAGCGGCGAGCGCCGCUGUGAGGAGCGCGCACGGUGCCUGGCGCCGGCGUGGAUAGCGCUGCCGCUGAGCCUGCUCAAGUGCUUGGCUUCUAAAAAACGACGAACACACAGAGAAAGAGGCGGCUACCAAAUCAACGAAAACUCGACCAGAUCUUCGUGAAUCGCUCCCAAAUUUUGGUCAGAUGAAAUUCAACCUUGCACGAAUCCGUUCCCCAAAAAUCAUCACGGAUUGACCCAAACUCUGAGAAAAUCAUAUCGUAGCCAAACACGAAAAAGAGAAGAAAUGAAAAAGAGAAGAAAUAAGAACAAAAAUUACAGCUUCAAAAUAGGAACCCCUAAGGACAAAAGGAGGAUUUGGGCCUUCAUUCCUACUCCAAAACACAACAAAAAUAUUACGAAUUUUCUCAGUUCAUGAAUCUCUAUAACUCAUAAAAAAAGUUAAACCUAGAAAGAAAGGAGGAGAUGACUAUUGGGAGAGAGGUGGAGAGAGGUGAGGGAGAUGGGGGACUCCCCUCCUUAUUUAUCGGGCAUAGUUCAUGAAUCUCUAGAACUCACGAAAAAAAGUUAAACCUAGAGAGAAAGGGGAGAAGAUGACUAUUGGGAGAGAGGUGGAG